UACAGAGGUCCCAAGCGUUGUUCGGAUUCACUGGGCGUAAAGGGUGCGUAGGUGGUGAGGUAAGUCGGAUGUGAAAGCUCGGAGCUCAACUCCGAAAUGGCAUUGGAAACUACCUUGCUCGAGGGUUGGAGGGGGGGGGACUGGAAUACUUGGUGUAGCAGUGAAAUGCGUAGAUAUCAGGAGGAAUACCGAUGGCGAAGGCAGCCCCCUGGGUCGAUACUGACGCUCAUGCACGAAAGCGUGGGGAGCAAACAGG
rnacentral:rRNA from 1 species